UACACUCCUACGGGAGGCAGCAGUGGGGAAUAUUGGACAAUGGGCGCAAGCCUGAUCCAGCCAUGCCGCGUGAGUGAUGAAGGCCCUAGGGUUGUAAAGCUCUUUCACCGGAGAAGAUAAUGACGGUAUCCGGAGAAGAAGCCCCGGCUAACUUCGUGCCAGCAGCCGCGGUAAUACGAAGGGGGCUAGCGUUGUUCGGAAUUACUGGGCGUAAAGCGCACGUAGGCGGAGCGAUCAGUCAGGGGUGAAAUCCCAGGGCUCAACCCUGGAACUGCCUUUGAUACUGUCGAUCUGGAGUAUGGAAGAGGUGAGUGGAAUUCCGAGUGUAGAGGUGAAAUUCGUAGAUAUUCGGAGGAACACCAGUGGCGAAGGCGGCUCACUGGUCCAUUACUGACGCUGAGGUGCGAAAGCGUGGGGAGCAAACAGGAUUAGAAACCCUUGUAGUCCCAU
rnacentral:rRNA from 1 species